UAGGGAAUCUUCCACAAUGGACGAAAGUCUGAUGGAGCAACGCCGCGUGAGUGAAGAAGGGUUUCGGCUCGUAAAACUCUGUUGUUGAAGAAGAACAUAUCUGAGAGUAACUGUUCAGGUAUUGACGGUAUUUAACCAGAAAGCCACGGCUAACUACGUGCCAG
rnacentral:rRNA from 1 species